rnacentral:rRNA from 1 species
GUNCCUUUUGAAUUUAAUUUAAGGUCUGACCUGCCCAGUGAAUAAUUUUAACGGCCGCGGUAUACUGMCCGUGCAAAGGUAGCAUAAUCAUUAGUCUUUUAAUAGAGGGCUGGAAUGAAAGGUUUGACGAGGAAUYGGCUGUCUCAUUUUAUUUGUUUUAAAAUUUAAUUUUUUAGUCAAAAAGCUAAAAUUUUAUUGGAAGACGAGAAGACCCUAUAGAUCUUUAUAAAUUUUAUUUAAUUAAUAUUAUAUUAAUAUAGUUACAUUAAUUAUUUAUUUUGUUGGGGUGACAAGAAUAUAAAUAUAACUUUUUUAUUUAUUUUUCAUUGAUUUAUGUUUAUUAGAUCCAUUAUUAUUGAUUAUUAGACUAAGUUACCUUAGGSAUAMCARCGUAAUCCUCCUCCAGAGUUCAUAUUUACAGGAAGGKCUUGCGACCUCGAUGUUGGAUUAAGAUUAUMMUUAGGUGUAG